rnacentral:tRNA from 1 species
GGCCCGUUGGUCAAGCGGUUAAGACACCGCCCUUUCACGGCGGUAUCAAGGGUUCGAAUCCCCUACGGGUCACCA